rnacentral:rRNA from 2 species
UUAAAUUCUUACAUGAUCUGAGUUCAAACCGGUGUAAGCCAGGUUGGUUUCUAUCUUUAAAAAAUUAUAAUAUUUUAGUACGAAAGGACCAAAUAUU